rnacentral:rRNA from 1 species
AUUGAACGCUGGCGGCAGGCUUAACACAUGCAAGUCGAGCGGAGCGAGGGUGCUUGCACCUUAGCUUAGCGGCGGACGGGUGAGUAAUGCUUAGGAAUCUGCCUAUUAGUGGGGGACAACAUUCCGAAAGGGAUGCUAAUACCGCAUACGCCCUACGGGGGAAAGCAGGGGAUCUUCGGACCUUGCGCUAAUAGAUGAGCCUAGGUCGGAUUAGCUAGUUUGUGGGGUAAAGGCCUACCAAGGCGACGAUCUGUAGCGGGUCUGAGAGGAUGAUCCGCCACACUGGGACUGAGACACGGCCCAGACUCCUACGGGAGGCAGCAGUGGUGAAUAUUGGACAAUGGGCGGAAGCCUGAUCCAGCCAUGCCGCGUGUGUGAAGAAGGCCUUUUGGUUGUAAAGCACUUUAAGCGAGGAGGAGGCUACUAGUAUUAAUACUACUGGAUAGUGGACGUUACUCGCAGAAUAAGCACCGGCUAACUCUGUGCCAGCAGCCGCGGUAAGAC